UACACAAAUAUCUCCAAGACACUACCUGAC
rnacentral:piRNA from 1 species